rnacentral:rRNA from 1 species
AUGGAUCAUAGGAUUGUGGUCCCCUGUCUUGAUGGUAGAAGCGAAGGUUUACUAUUAGUCUGGAAGAAGGAGGUGAGGAUCUACUCCCGGACUAAUACGUUUAAUUGCAUUGAUGUCUCCAUUAAAGAAGUGGAUGGUAGAGUAUGGAGGCUUACGGGUUUGUAUGGAGAACCAAGCUGGGAUAAUAAGAACAAAACAUACCAGCUGAUCCGAGACCUUCAUGCCCACUCUAACUUACCAUGGGUCGUUAUUGGUGACUUCAACGAAAUAUUACUAUCGUCAGAAAAAGAAGGAGGAGUCCAGCGGCAAUAGUCUAGGCUAAAAACUUUCCAAGAUGCCCGGUCAUACUACUCCUUGGAGGAUAUUGGAUACCAUGGCGACAAGUUUACCUUUUUCAGAGGAGGACUGCGAGAAAGGUUGGAUCGAGCAGUAUCAAACCCGGGAUGGAUGGAUAUGCAUCCUUUAUGUGGUCUUGUGAACCUGGAUAUGGGCGAGUCAGACCACAAACCUAUUUGUCUGGAUACUGAAUACCUGGUGGGUGUCGCAGCUCAACGGCAUCGGCCAGGAAGAAAAUUUGAGGCAAGAUGGCUUGAAUAG